rnacentral:rRNA from 1 species
GACGAACGCUGGCGGCGUGCUUAACACAUGCAAGUCGAACGGAAAGGCCUGCUUUCCCUUGUGGUUUGCGGGUACUCGAGUGGCGAACUGAUGCGUAACACGUGAGUGAUCUGCCCCCAACUUGGGUAUAAGCCUGGGAAACUGUGUCUAAUUCCCGAUAGUACUGCAGGGUGUUGCCUUUGGUGGAAAACGUUUUUCUCGUGGUUGUGGAUGAGCUCGCGGCCAAUCAGCUUGUUGGAGGGGUAAUGUCCUACCCAGGAGGCCACGGGUAGCCGGCCUGGGAGGGUGGACGGCGACAUUGGGAAUGAGACACGGCCCAGAGGGCGACGGGAGGAAGGAGUGGGGGAUAAUGCAGGCUGGGCGGAAGGCUGAUGGAGGGACGCGGCGUGGGGGAUGGCGGCUUGCGGGUUGUAAACGUCUUUCGAGCGCGAGGAAGACACCUGGUUGGAAGGGUGGUGACGGUAGUGGUAGAAGAAGCACCGGCUAACUACGUG